rnacentral:lncRNA from 1 species
UAAGAUCUAUAUGUUUUAAUCCACUCCAUUGCAACUUCAAGGAGAUAUGAUUAUUUACUUCAAUCUGUUUAACUGCAGUGUCAGGGAAACAAGAUUCGCCGCCGUGACUUCAAUCUAUUCCACUACACCGCCAAGGAAGUAAGAUUCGCCGUUGUGGCUUCAAUCUUUUAAAUUGCAAUAUCAUGGAAACCAGAUCCGCCGUCGUGGCUUCAAUCUGCUCCACUACACCGCCAGGGAAGUAAGAUCCGCCAUUGUGGCUUCAAUCUUUUUUAUUGCAAUGUUAAGGAAACCAGAUCCGUCGUCGUAGCUUUAAUCUGUUCCACUAUACUGCCAGGGAAGCAAGAUUCGCCGUUGUGGCUUCAAUCCGUUCCACUGUAAUGCCAAAGAGAUAGGAUUCGCUGCCCACAGCUUCAAUCCGCUCCACUUCAACUAAUCCAAGCCUUAACGCCAGGGAGAUAAGAUACGCCGUCGUGGCUUCAAUCUGCUCCGCUGCAAUGCCAGGAAAAUAAGACCCGCCAUUGUGGCUUCAAUCUUUUUAAUUACAAUGCCAAAGAGAUAGGACUCGCUGCCCACAGCUUUAAUCUGCUCCACUUCAGCUAAUCCAAGUCUUAACACCAGGGAGAAAAGAUUCGCCGUCGUGGCUUCAAUCUGCUCCGCUGAGACGCCAGGAAAAUAAGAUCCGCCAUUGUGGCUUCAGUCUUUUCCAUUGCAACGUCAAGGCGAUAAGACGGGUAUCUUCGAUCUGCUUCGCUACCAGUACAGGAAGGCAAGAUCUGUCAUUUUCAACCUACUCCACUACUACCUAGGGAGACAAGGCUGGUAUCUUCGAUCUACUUCACUGCCAAUACAGGAAGACAAGAUCUGCUAUUUUUAACCUAUUCCACUGCUGCUCAGGGAGAUAAGGCUGAAGUUUCACCAGUUUGUUCUCUAGGGAACAUGAC